rnacentral:rRNA from 1 species
GGGGGGUUCCGGAUAUUGGGCGUAAGAGCUCGUAGGCGGUUUGUCGCGUCUGCCGUGAAAGUCCGGGGCUCAACUCCGGAUCUGCGGCGGGUACGGGCAGACUAGAGUGAUGUAGGGGAGACUGGAAUUCCUGGUGUAGCGGUGAAAUGCGCAGAUAUCAGGAGGAACACCGAUGGCGAAGGCAGGUCUCUGGGCAUUAACUGACGCUGAGGAGCGAAAGCAUGGGGAGCGAACAGGAUUAGAUACCCUGGUAGUCCAUGCCGUAAACGUUGGGCACUAGGUGUGGGGGACAUUCCACGUUUUCCGCGCCGUAGCUAACGCAUUAAGUGCCCCGCCUGGGGAGUACGGCCGCAAGGCUAAAACUCAAAGGAAUUGACGGGGGCCCGCACAAGCGGCGGAGCAUGCGGAUUAAUUCGAUGCAACGCGAAGAACCUUACCAAGGCUUGACAUGGGCCGGACCGGGCUGGAAACAGUCCUUCCCCUUUGGGGCCGGUUCACAGGUGGUGCAUGGUUGUCGUCAGCUCGUGUCGUGAGAUGUUGGGUUAAGUCCCGCAACGAGCGCAACCCUCGUUCCAUGUUGCCAGCGCGUAAUGGCGGGGACUCAUGGGAGACUGCCGGGGUCAACUCGGAGGAAGGUGGGGACGACGUCAAAUCAUCAUGCCCCUUAUGUCUUGGGCUUCACGCAUGCUACAAUGGCCGGUACAAAGGGUUGCGAUACUGUGAGGUGGAGCUAAUCCCAAAAAGCCGGUCUCAGUUCGGAUUGGGGUCUGCAACUCGACCCCAUGAAGUCGGAGUCGCUAGUAAUCGCAGAUCAGCAACGCUGCGGUGAAUACGUUCCCGGGCCUUGUACACACCGCCCGUCAAGUCACGAAAGUUGGUAACACCCGAAGCCGGUGGCCUAACCCCUUGUGGGAGGGAGCUGUCGAAGGUGGGACUGGCGAUUGGGACUAAGUCGUAACAAGUAAC